AGUAGCUUUCUGUUCUUAAAUAUGUUAUCCCAGAGGCAUUACUAUCACUCCUGAUUGGCUUGUCCUUGGCCAGAGGCAGGAAGCCCGUCCUGGAGCCAGCUGGCAUUGGCUCCACCAGACAGGGGAAGCUUCUAACAGCUUCUAACAGAAGCCCCCCCCCCCCUACUAAAACCUAGCACAGAAACCCACUAGAUCUGUGGAGCCUACUUACCCUCUUGAGCGUCUUCCUCCACAUGUGAAGCCUUAUUCCACAGUUAUCCCAGUGUCCCCCGAAAAGACUCUGUGAUUCAGAGUCUCUUUGUGAUGCUAGAGUCCAUCUCUGAAGCCUCCUUCUGGGGAAAAGCCCUUGUCCACCUUUGGAGGUUCCUUCCUGUAAGCAGCCUCCAUUCCCUGUGGGAGCCUCCUUCCCCUUUCAAGCCUCCUUGCGCUGUGGUGCCUGAGUCCCUCUUUGAAGCAUCUGUUGUCUGUGAUGCUAGAGUCCCUCUGUGUUGGCAGAGUGCACCUGUGAAGCCUCCUUGCCAUGUUUUGGGUGAGUAUCUGUGAAGCCUCCCUCCUGCGAUGAGCCUCCUCUCCUGUAGAACCUUGUUACCCUCUGAUGCCAGAAUCACUUGUUGAAGCCUGCUUGCCUGGUGAAGGCUCCUUCCCUUGUGAAGAUUCCUUCCCUUGUUUUUCCUUAGCCAGCAUGACCUUCUCUGUCAUUCUUCCAGGUUCUGAGGUUAAAGAUAGUUCGUUGUGCUGAUAUUGCUCAAUUUUACCCAAGAAAUUUUUACAAAGAAAUCCUAAACAUAAUUUUAAUCUUGAGGUAGAAUGUGGAAACUUUAUGGAACAUAGCAUCACAAGACUGUAAGUGGAGCACCACUGUCUGUAGGAGGUGUGUCCAGGGUGCAAAGGAUGCACCAAGGGCAGGGAAGCCCAAGGGACAUGCACCGAAAUAGAUAACCUCAUUGGUCACAAGGUCACAUGGUUUUAAGGGAUAAGAAGGAGCGCCAGGUUUGAAUAAACCUCUUUGAUUGCCAUCUCAUCGAGGAGUUGAGUCCAUUUAUUUAUUAUAUAAAGACUCCACGCUAUAACUGUCUGUCCAGAGCAAAGAUGCAUUAUUUUUCUCUCUGUGAAAGAUAAGUAAAUCUCCACCUUUUUCCCAACUUGAAAGUAUUUUAAUUUCCAGAACUGAGAAUAUUUUUUCGCACAUCUAAAAACAUAUGUCAGCUCUUGGAAUUAAUAAUGAAAGAAGAUGGUAAUUUUCUUUUUUUUUUCUUCCUUUUCAAUCUUCCAGUCAGAAGUUGUUUUUUUUCUCCUAAUACUUCUGCUGUGAACUGUGGGAAAUCAUGCACUAAGCCUCUGUCUUUUCUGUUUCCACCCCCUUCUUCACUGGGCUAAAGGUUUCUCUUGAGCCUGAUAUCCACCAUACAGCAUUGGUUUUAAUUCUUAUAGCUUGUUCAUUGUAGGAGUUUUUACAGACUGAAAGACAACCUUGGUUAUGCUUCUCAUUAUUUUCAUUUUUAUUUUGAGUACUAGCUAACCUGCUCCUAAUGAAGCAGAACUAUAAGCUUCAUUAAUGCUUAAUAAAAGUUUUAUUUUUUUGUUUGUUUGUUUCUUUUUGUUUUCUGCAGUGGUUUGAAAUUCUGUAGAUCUCUCUUUGUCAGUCUUGCCCACUGCAAGCUUGGAAUGGGAGUGAACUCUGCUUUUCCCUUGGCUCCAUUUCCCCAGGGAUUCUUGCUUGUGCAAAAGAGCCUGUACUUGGAAGGGCUCCAGACUUGCUGCACCAUUCAUGGCUUCUGAUUCCUGGCUCUCCCUUAAGGCGACGCAAGCUCUGGGCAGGCACUAGAGCACUUUUAAUGCCUCCUUGGCCCACAUACACAGUGGUAGAAUAUGUUUUGGAAGGAAAAUGGUGUGCUCGUUGUCAAUAUGUGUCCUGCUUUGGAAAACAUCCCGUGAUAUCACACACCUCAUUCUUCUUUUGUAUGUGGUCACUACCAAUCCUCAUUCUUAAAGUUCUCACUUUCAUUCAUCAACCACCGUAAAGUAUUGUUUCCACUUGGAACAUUUUGUGUCUUUGAAAGUGUUUUUAGAGCUGUUUUCUGCAAUGGUUUGAUAUUUUGGUGUGAUGUAAAUAAAGGCAGCUAUUCACCAGUGCAACACGUAUAUUGAAGCACAUUGAUGUGGCCCCAACACAGUGGGAAUGCUGCAUGAAGUUCUUUCAGUAUUUAAGUCCAGUGCAUCUGACUGAGUUUUAAAAGCAAUAUGCAGUGAGGCAUGGCUACUUCCUCUACUGUGAUGUUGUUCUGUAGGGUCAUUCAAGACCAUGUUCACAAGGCCUGAUUCCUGGAUAUCAGUACAGAACAAGCUCAACACAAAGGGAAAUAAGAAAUUAACUUUUAAGUAUUUCCUUACAUUAUUUUUGUGCUAAAUCUAUUUACUCCUACUUUGUUUUAAUUAUCAAAACACUAAUUUUUUUUUAAUGUUUGCACAGUAGAGGGAGCUGGAAGUUUAAAAUAUGUAUUCAGUGUGUAACUGUUGCCUGUAAAGAUGAGAAAUGUCAGUGGAAUAACAAAUGAGGUUUUAGCAUUACAGGAAGAUGAUGGACAUUUAUUCAAAGCCAUUAAGUUAAAUGAGUCAGAGGAUUUUAAGUCAGUGGUGUUACUGGUCUUACCUGGGAGCACUACCAUGAGACAGCAGAGGCUGCCCAGCCAUAUACUUUGCAGCUGAUUUUAUUAAACUACAGCUGGUAUUGGCUCCUUGAUGCUGUUUGUGUUCAGAAAUACUCAUUUAUUGGAAAAAUUUAAAUAUAUAUAUUUCAGUUACCUUUUAACUAAAUAAUCUUUCCAGAUUCUGUAAAUGUUGAGGGUUUUUUUCUCCAUCUUUGUAUUUUAGUUGCUGUCAAACUCAUUUCAGCUGAGUCUGAGAUUCAGUCCAUUGGAGCUGCCAGUAUAAAGGCACAUGUACUUGCCCUUGAGCCUAUUUCUAUGAACACAAUCUUCUCCCAUCUCCAUUAGACUAAACUAUUUAUGGAAAACCCAUUUUGAUAAAACCAGGCAAGGGAGAGGGUGCAUGUUUAGCUGGUCUGUUAGAGUUGGAAGAAAGUGUUAUCUCUUGCCAUCCCAGAGCUCCAGGCACCGUGCACAUGCUAAUGAAAAGUCCCUCAGUCAGUGUUUAUUUUCAAUGCACAUGACAAUCAUCAAGAAACCCUCUAAAAAAAAGCCCUGUUUUCCUCACUGUCCUUUGACUGCGUUAGAAAAAUUGCCUACCUGGCAGCAACUCUAUCUGAUCCUGCCAUUUCAGAGGCAUCUCUGACCACAUGCAGAGAAAUACAGAGCAGUACGUCUACUCUGGUGAGGGUAGAACUUCUUUUAAGCAAUUCACCUGGGGCUCAGCUGCUUUCUUAACUGCAGAGAGGGUCCAGCUUAACUUGGUGCCAUUUGGGGCACAUCUGCUGCAUGGCCUCUGCUGGGUGGGAGCAGCAGAGUAUAGCAGAGGAGGUGAGGAGACCUCAACACACGGCUUGGGCACAUCAUUAUACCACAUCUGACCAAAGCUGCAAUGAUGUCUGGAGGUGUGAGUUCUUGUGGUUCUUACAGUUGGAGGAGAUUAAUUUUUCCUUCAUAUCCCUUGUCUGGGAAUUAGAGAGAUCUAGUGGUAAUGUAAGUGUACAAAGGUGUCUACAAAAGGCAGAUGAGGAACAGCUUUGAAGGAUCUUUUAAGUGAAGACAGGAAAUCCGAAAAAACAAAUUUAAAGCAGUAGGACUUCCUUAUUGUGGUGAGCUGGUGGGAGUGCCUGACACUGACAGCAAAAAUGUUUAUUGUGAAUUGAGUUAAUACAGGAUGUGACAGAAUGAGAGCUCUAGCUGCAUGGACAGUCACAUCUCAGGCAAGGGGAGAGAAAGGCACAGAAAAGAUCAACACUUUGAUUUGUGAGCUUAAAGAUGAACUUAAAUUUGUAAGUGGCACUUUGGAAACAGAAUAUGGCACUUUUAUAUCAGAUCUGUGCUGUUGUUACCUGUAUGAUUCAAAGAGAUGGCUUUAUAAGCAAUUAUUUAAUCACAGUAUAUCAUUUACUCUGCUGUUUCUUUGCAGGUGACUGCAGGAAUGACAGUUUAGGCUGUUACCACAGGGUGUCUCUCCUUGGUAGAGUUUGGCAUUCUAUCUGCUAUGACCCAUAUAGUUUUCCCCGCUGAUAAUUACUUUCUCUUAUCUGGUCAAGAAAAUUCCCUUCAAAGGAUUUCUUUGAUUGAGGAAAUUCAUUAAUAUGAUCUUGAGAUAAUAUUAAUGCUUCUUUGCUUGAGUCUUCUCAGUUACUGUUUGAACAGCACAUUUUUCCGUAGUUUAUUAAGGAAGAUUAGCAUCUUUUGAAGUGUACUUUAAUGGAAGACCUUCUAUCAAUUAAUUAAUAUUUUCUAGGUUCCAGAAAAAAAAAGCAGUUGAGAAAAGUGAAUCUGUGUAUUAUUAUUGCAGGAAACAUCUGUGCCCACCUCUUAACAUAGAUUUAUGUAAUCCCUUGGGAGUGUUCACCCAAGGAACGAUCUCGUGCUCAGGCUUCCUGAACCCAUCUCACAAACUGUCAUACUCAUAAUCAGCAAAACAGGUAAAUGAAAGAAAUGUUCAGAAAAUUAAGGUCCUUUUGGCUCUACGAGGAGCAGUUAAAAGGUGUGCUUGUUAAUAGUUCCCACGAGAUGGCUCCCGAGGUACAGAAGUGAUGCAGUGCCCAGCAUGGAUUAGGUUCAUGUCCCGCAACUCUAUCAUGUCUUAAAACACAAAACUAUAACUUUAGCCCAGACUCCACCGAGGAUAAACAUUACCAUAGGGAGCACAUACACCGAGAGCGGUGGUAUAUAACGUGCCUGUGAGCACGUAUGCAAAUGAAAUAACAUGGUGACCAGCCACUACUAAACCAAUACAAUUGUUGCUUAUAAUUAAUUUGUUUUAACAUGCUCUGAUCAGGUCUGUUUUUAUCUCAAUCCUCCGGCCCCUAUGUUGGGCACCAAAAAUGUCUGUCAUUGUUUAACUGCAGCCCUAACUAAGUACCACACAGCUGCUACCUCACUACCCUUGCCCCAGUGGAGAGGAGAAUUGGAAAGACUAGAUGAAUGCAAUUUUUCUCACAAGCUCAGUCAUACGCCUUUACUUUAUUCAGAAUUAGAAUAGCAAUGUUCUGAAGAGUAGAAAAAAAAAUGAACAAAGUUGGUUCCAACAGAGGAAGAGCUGAGAUAUAUGUGCAGAAGACAGAACAAAUUUAAACUAUUUGGAGAUGUUUGAGACACAUUUUCUCAAAUGAGAGUUGUGGUCACUUGGCACACUGAGAUAUUCUCUGUCAUUUGAGUGCUGCAUUUUUCCACGGAAUGGAAAUUUAUGGGAUUUCUCAUUUAAGAAGUGUCCUAGGACCUGUCUUGCUCAGCCCUAAAGCCAGUCUUUCAUGCAUCUGGGAAGGACCAUUAUUCUGUUUUCAUGGUGGGUUUAUGUUGCUGUCUCACCAAUCUCUGUGGAGUCAGCUGAAUUCCAAUGGUUAUAAAAUGAUCCUUCAGGUGGCUGUAAGACUACUGGUAACACAAUCCUAUAAUAUCUCAGACUUCAACUCUGUAAG